rnacentral:rRNA from 1 species
GAUGAACGCUAGCGGCAGGCUUAACACAUGCAAGUCGAGGGGCAGCGCGGGAUAGCAAUAUCCUGGCGGCGACCGGCGGACGGGUGCGUAACGCGUGAGCGACAUGCCCGUUGCCCGGGGACAACCGGUGGAAACGCCGACUAAUCCCCGAUGGGAUAUUGUGCCGCAUGGCACGAUAUUGAAAGUUACGGCGGCGACGGAUUGGCUCGCGUCCGAUUAGCUGGUUGGCGGGGUAACGGCCCACCAAGGCUGCGAUCGGUAGGGGUUCUGAGAGGAAGGCCCCCCACAAUGGGACUGAGACACGGCCCAUACUCCUACGGGAGGCAGCAGUGAGGAAUAUUGGUCAAUGGGCGGAAGCCUGAACCAGCCAUGCCGCGUGCGGGAAGGAGGCCCUAUGGGCUGUGAACCGCUUUUGCCUGGGGGCAAUAAGGGCGUCGCGCACGUCCGAUGAGAGUACCAGGCGAAUAAGCAUCGGCUAACUCCGUG